UUUCUUCUUCUUCUUCUUCUUCUUCUUCUUCUUCUGUGAGAUGAUUCCGAGGUCAUAAUCAAAGAGAAAAUUAGGGGAAUCAAUAAUAAUUGGUUGCUGGUGAUGUUAUUGAUAUUAUUUGAGCUCAAGAGAAGAAGGAGUGAUGCUGUUAAAUCGAAUUAGGGUUCUGUUCUUGAUUUGAAGGAGAGAUUAAGAUGAGUUUUGAGUUUCUGUUGGAUGAAGAUCGAUAGGGUUUGUGUUUAAUUAUAAUUUUGAAGUUGAUUCAGUGGAGAAUCAUUGAGGAGAGUUGAAUUAGGGUUUCAGAAGAGUUGCAGAAGAGAAUUCAAAGAUGAAAUUGAUACUCUAGAAGAUCAAUUGAAGAUGGGUUUUGUAUAUUGAACGUAAAUGAGAAGAUUUAGUAUCUGAAUUUCGAUUCACAAAGAAGAAUUGAUGAAUUAGGGCUUCAUGUUCUUCCCCAAUUUAAGAACUAGGGUUUUGAGAUUUGAACAGAUGGUUUAGGAAGGAGAUGAAGUUGUAUUGAUUUGUUGGAAUUAGAAGAAAGAAGGGGUUGGUUUCAAUUUGGUUGAGACAAGCUGUUAUGAGGUAAUUGACUUUCUGUUUCUAGUUAAGUUAUUCAUUUCAAAUUAUUGAAUUUAUGAAGCUAAGAAUCAGGUUGUUAUGGAAUGGAAUUAACCUGGUUGUGUAUAUUGAGCUGAAAUGAAUAUAUGUGGAUAUACAGUGUUGUAUUGAUUGUGAUUAAUUUAACAAGAGAAUGGUGUCGGUGAACUGUGAAAGUUGUUGGUAUGGUUGCAGAUCAUUCUAAUGUUGAGUUAAGUUGAACUGUUAGUGGUGUUGGUGUUGUCUGUAAUGUUGAAACUGCAGGGGACAUCAGUGAAUGGUGGAGGUGCAGAGUUAUUGAGGUUGUUGUAGUGGUAGUGCUUGAGAUUGUGUUGUGAUGUUGAGAAUGAUGGUGAAGUUGCAGAGAGUAGUGAUUGAAUGUCUGUGCAAUGGUAGUACUGUGGUUGGUGUUUAGGUUAUUGUAGUUGAUGUAAAGAUGUGAAUGCAAUGUACUGGUAUUGGAAUCUGAUGGCGGAGAAGAAAUGAUGUAGGGUUGGAAAGCAAUGUGUGCUUAACCAAAGAUUGUAUACCUGGAAUUGCUGCCAUCAUGUAAGAUCAUUGUAGCAGAAUGUAGAAAGAAUGAGGAGCAUCUACUGCUUUUAAAGUUAGUCUUAUGAACAACGAUCGAUUCAAAGGAUGAACCAGUGGAUCGUGGAUCUCGAGGUAGUCGUGGCUUGUCAUCAAAUGAGUUUCAGAGACAGAUCAGAAUUGCGCAGCGAAAGCUUUGUGGCAUUGAGUCCGUCAGUUGGAUAGAUCCUGCUAUUUUUAUUUGUAUUUAUGAUUUAUUUGCAAAGCAAAUGACUAUUGUAUAUGUAUCAUUUGAGAGCAGUUCUUGUAUAUAUAUUUCAGAGCGGGGCUAGUUUUGGGUUAAGUUUUGUAACAGUUUUCUUAAUUGAAUUCUUAAGUAUAUGAUUUA